rnacentral:rRNA from 1 species
AUUGAACGCUGGCGGCAUGCCUUACACAUGCAAGUCGAACGGCAACAGGCCGCAAGGUGCCGACGAGCGGCGAACGGGUGAGUAAUGCAUCGGAACGUGCCCAGUCGUGGGGGAUAACUACUCGAAAGAGUAGCUAAUACCUCAUACGAUCUAUGGACGAAAGCGGGGGACCGCAAGGCUUCGCGCGAUUGGUGCGGUCGAUGUCAGAUUAGGUAGUUGGUGGGGUAAAGGCUCACCAAGCCAACGAUCUGUAGCUGGUCUGAGAGGACGACCAGCCACACUGGGACUGAGACACGGCCCAGACUCCUACGGGAGGCAGCAGUGGGGAAUUUUGGACAAUGGGCGAAAGCCUGAUCCAGCAAUGCCGCGUGCAGGAAGAAGGCCUUCGGGUUGUAAACUGCUUUUGUACGGAAAGAAACGGCUCUGGUUAAUACCCGGGGCUAAUGACGGUACCGUAAGAAUAAGCACCGGCUAACUACGUG